UACGAAGGAUUCGAGCGUUAUCCGGAUUUAUUGGGUUUAAAGGGUGCGUAGGUGGAUUAAUAAGUCAGUGGUGAAAGCCCGGAGCUCAACUCUGGAACUGCCAUUGAUACUGUUAGUCUUGAGUACAGUUGAGGUGGGCGGAAUGUGUCAUGUAGCGGUGAAAUGCUUAGAUAUGACACAGAACACCGAUUGCGAAGGCAGCUCACUAAGCUGUAACUGACACUGAGGCACGAAAGUGUGGGGAUCAAACAGG
rnacentral:rRNA from 1 species